UACGGGGGGGGCAAGCGUUGUUCGGAAUUAUUGGGCGUAAAGAGCUCGUAGGCGGUUUGUCGCGUCUGCUGUGAAAAUCCGGGGACCGUCAACCCCCGGACUUGCAGUGGGUACGGGCAGACUAGAGUGUGGUAGGGGAGACUGGAAUUCCUGGGUGUAGCGGUGAAAUGCGCAGAUAUCAGGAGGAACACCAAUGGCGAAGGCAGCUCGCUGGGACGUGACUGACGCUGGAGACGCGAAAGCGUGGGGAGCAAACAGG
rnacentral:rRNA from 1 species